rnacentral:rRNA from 1 species
UGGGGAAUUUUGGACAAUGGGCGAAAGCCUGAUCCAGCAAUGCCGCGUGUGUGAAGAAGGCCUUCGGGUUGUAAAGCACUUUUGUCCGGAAAGAAAUGGCUCUGGUUAAUACCUGGGGUCGAUGACGGUACCGGAAGAAUAAGGACCGGCUAACUACGUGCCAGCAGCCGCGGUAAUACGUAGGGUCCAAGCGUUAAUCGGAAUUACUGGGCGUAAAGCGUGCGCAGGCGGUUGUGCAAGACCGAUGUGAAAUCCCCGAGCUUAACUUGGGAAUUGCAUUGGUGACUGCACGGCUAGAGUGUGUCAGAGGGGGGUAGAAUUCCACGUGUAGCAGUGAAAUGCGUAGAGAUGUGGAGGAAUACCGAUGGCGAAGGCAGCCCCCUGGGAUAACACUGAUGCUCAUGCACGAAAGCGUGGGGAGCAAACGGGAUUAGAUACCCUGGUAGUCCACGCCCUAAACGAUGUCAACUAGUUGUUGGGGAUUCAUUUCCUUAGUAACGUAGCUAACGCGUGAAGUUGACCGCCUGGGGAGUACGGUCGCAAGAUUAAAACUUAAAUGAAUUGACGGGGUCAUAGCUGUUUCCU